CAUACCGUAAUCUCUCAAAUAGGGGCUCAGAAAUCCCCUCUGUCCUAUUUUGAAGGCGCCUGUGCCGUGUUUCCGCUGCUGCUGCGCGUUACCGCGUUCACCUUGACGCGAGGCUGACGGUCCAUAACGGGAGCGAGGAUGGCUGCAGAAGAUGCGGAGUAACGAACACAGCGACACAAGCCCGACCAAGAGCAGCGCCGGGACCGGGUGCGGUUCGGCCAUGGGGCGAGCCCGUCCAGUGACGGUGACGGUAUCUACGGUAAGCCUCACGCUCAGCAUCCUGUCCCUGCUGCUGUUGGUCACGGCCAUCUCCACUGACCACUGGUAUGAGACCGACACCCGCAGACACAAGGACAACUGCGACCGACACGGUUCCGACUCCAACGACCAGAAAAACCGGGAGAUGCCCAUCUACCACCUGCCGCUGGUGGACACCGGCAGCAGCGGGGCGCGGCAGCGGGAUGUGGCGCUGCUUAAGCCCGUGCAUGUGGGCAGCAGAGAGGAAGAGCUGCUGGAGAACUGGCGAGCCAUCCUGGGGAUGGGAAUCCUGGAGAGCGAGUGUGGAAGGCCGCUGUUCUCCACACACUAUGGACUCUGGAGGAAGUGCUAUUUCCAAAACUUGGACCCGGACAUUGACAAGUUGAUCCAACGAGGUAUUGCUGAUCGCUGCACAGCGGUGAAGUACCACUUCUCUCAGCCAAUCAGAUUGAGAAACAUCCCUCUGAACCUGACAAGGACGAUUCAACAGGAUGAGUGGCACCUACUGCACCUACGUCGCAUUACUGCAGGCUUUCUGGGAAUGGCAGCUGCUGUCCUCCUGUGUGGCAGCAUCGUAGUGUCCGUAGGUUUUGUGUGGGAAGAGAGUCUUACGCAGCACGUGUCUGGUCUGCUCUUCCUCAUGGCAGGAAUCUUCUGCACUAUCUCUCUGUGCACCUAUGCCGCUAGUGUGACCUACGACCUCUCUAGAAAACCACCUUUCAUAUAUGGUCUGCCCGAGGACGUGGACCACGGUUAUGGCUGGUCUCUGUACUGUGCCUGGACCAGCUUGGGUCUGACGGUGGUGUCCGGCUGCCUUGGGACCAUGUUUCCAUUCCUGAGCAGAGCUGGAGGACUACAGUCCAAGAACGCCCGCGAGUCAUCUGUCUAAAAUGCCAACGCUGGAAAGCAGGCAGUGUUGGCGGGGCUCACAGAGCGCUUUAAUUAACUCUGGUCCUGGGCAGAUGAAAGGGACGCCCCCUGCUGACUUUCACACAGUGCUGGUGUUUAUGAUGUGGACAUUGAUGUACAUACACACACUGUACGUAUGUUGACUCAUUUUUGUUCCCUUUUUUAAAAAAUUCUCAGCAGCUGAUGUACAGACAUUUGCUAGCGUUAUGCUGACAACAAAUUGCUGUUACCUUUCAUUCGAGUAGAAUCACGUAACAUAUGAGAAUCAUCCGUCACUAAUCAUCGUAGGUCAGAAGGUGAAUGAAGCAUCAAGAAAAACAAAUUGCCUAGAGUCUUUGGCAUAGACUAUUGACUAUUUAUAGUCAAUGACUAGCUUGAUUAAUUUAUGAAAUAACUCCAUAUGAAUGUAAGUCUCAAUCAAACAACUCUUUCAGAGCAUAACCCUGCAUCUCCUUUUCCCUGAUGGAGCCAUGUCACACAUGGACUGAGUCACAGUCAGAUAAAGAACCAAUAUGCUAAUUGAGGUAUAUAAGCUCUACAAAAUUGGAAGUUAUAAAACAACCUCAUUUUGACAAAGACAUUCAUUCGUACGGAUUUGCUUUUUGAUACAAACGAGUCAGCUCGACGGUCUACAGUACCCAAGUACCCCGAUGCCCGUGUCCCUUUUUUUAUAUGAGGUCUAUAGGACUGAUAUGUGUUUGUCUAAAUCUCAUUCGCAUUUACCCAUCUGCUGCUGAGUGAGUUCAGAACCUCUUAGCACUUCGAAACAUGUACACAGGUGUAUAUAAUAUGUAUUUAAAUGUAUGAAUGUGAAGGUGGUGUUGUGACUGAGUAAUGACAAGUGAAACGUUGCAGAUGUGCGACCGUGAUUCGUAAACGGAAAACAACCUUUGAGACAAAUAUAAAUCCCUAACAAUGUUGUCACUGUAUGCGAACAUUUAAAGCUGAACAAUCAAACUUUGACCUGUUUGGUUUGUGAAUAAUGUUUACUGAUGUUGACUGUGUCCCUGAGUUUGUGCGCCCUUUUGGAGGGGCUUAAAUGAUCGAGCCCCAGAGCCACAUGUCAAUCAAAGAUUCUGAUAAGGUUUGUCCAUAGGUGUGCGAUUUCAUCAAUAAUAAACAUAUCUGACAA